rnacentral:rRNA from 1 species
AGAGUUUGAUCAUGGCUCAGGACGAACGCUGGCGGCGUGCUUAACACAUGCAAGUCGAGCGAGGCCUCUCCUUCGGGGGGGUGCCCUAGCGGCGAACGGGUGAGUAACACGUGGGCAACCUGCCCUCAGCUUCGGGAUAACUCCAAGAAAUUGGUGCUAAUACCGGAUGUGACCGCUGACCGCAUGGUCUGGUGGUGGAAAGAUUCAUCGGCUGGGGAUGGGCCCGCGGCCUAUCAGCUUGUUGGUGGGGUCACGGCCCACCAAGGCGACGACGGGUAGCCGGCCUGAGAGGGUGACCGGCCACACUGGGACUGAGACACGGCCCAGACUCCUACGGGAGGCAGCAGUGGGGAAUAUUGCGCAAUGGGCGAAAGCCUGACGCAGCGACGCCGCGUGGGGGAUGACGGCCUUCGGGUUGUAAACCUCUUUCAGUAGGGACGAAGCGGAAGUGACGGUACCUACAGAAGAAGCACUGGCCAACUACGUGCCAGCAGCCGCGGUAAUACGUAGGGUGCAAGCGUUGUCCGGAAUUAUUGGGCGUAAAGAGCUCGUAGGCGGUCUGUCGCGUCGGCUGUGAAAACCCGAGGCUCAACCUCGGGCCUGCAGUCGAUACGGGCAAACUGGAGUACUGCAGGGGAGACUGGAAUUCCUGGUGUAGCGGUGAAAUGCGCAGAUAUCAGGAGGAACACCGGUGGCGAAGGCGGGUCUCUGGGCAGUAACUGACGCUGAGGAGCGAAAGCGUGGGGAGCGAACAGGAUUAGAUACCCUAGUAGUCC